rnacentral:rRNA from 1 species
AUGAACGCUGGCGGCGUGCCUAAUACAUGCAAGUCGAGCGAACAGACGAGGAGCUUGCUCCUCUGACGUUAGCGGCGGACGGGCGAGUAACACGUGGAUAACCUACCUAUAAGACUGGGAUAACUUCGGGAAACCGGAGCUAAUACCGGAUAAUAUAUUGAACCGCAUGGUUCAAUAGUGAAAGACGGUUUUGCUGUCACUUAUAGAUGGAUCCGCGCCGCAUUAGCUAGUUGGUAAGGUAACGGCUUACCAAGGCAACGAUGCGUAGCCGACCUGAGAGGGUGAUCGGCCACACUGGAACUGAGACACGGUCCAGACUCCUACGGGAGGCAGCAGUAGGGAAUCUUCCGCAAUGGGCGAAAGCUUGACGGAGCAACGCCGCGUGAGUGAUGAAGGUCUUCGGAUCGUAAAACUCUGUUAUUAGGGAAGAACAAAUGUGUAAGUAACUAUGCACGUCUUGACGGUACCUAAUCAGAAAGCCACGGCUAACUACGUG